rnacentral:tRNA from 1 species
GGUACCUUAGCCGAGUGGUUAGGCGCCGGUCUGCAAAACCGUUGACAGCAGUUCGAAUCUGCUAGGUACCU